UGGGCUAUCGUCUAACGGUAGGACGCCUGACUCUGGAUCAGGUAGUUGGGGUUCGAAUCCCUGUAGCCCAGCCA
rnacentral:tRNA from 1 species